rnacentral:lncRNA from 1 species
UAACCGGGGUGUCACAAGUCAUGAGCUACUACAGAGUUUACUAAAAUUCUACAAAGUAUGUAAUUUGGAACGACAUCUGAAGAUAUCAUAAAUACAGAAGAUAAGGGAGAAAAUGGGUCUGCGAACGCCAUGCAGCUACCUCGAUAACUUCGAUGAAAACUGAAUAGCAGAAAACUCGCUCUAUACCUCAGGAAUACCUGUACCUGCACACAUGGUACAUGGAGUAAUGUGAGUACUCCGACCCAGUGAGUAAUAAAUAUAAAUAAUAACUGAAGGUAAGAAAACACGUUAAGGCACACAACACUCUAUACAGAAGCAGUGAAAUCAUUUAAAAUAACAAUUCAGUGAAACAUCAUGGGAAAAUUCUUUUAAACCAGUAAAAAAAAGAUAAUUUGGCAGUAAAAUGACGAGUAGAAAUCUGCCCCUCGGGCUCAAUAUCAAAACAACAAGUAGAAAUCUGCCCCUCGGGCUCAGUAUCAAAAUAAUAAGUAGAAAUCUGCCCCUCGGGCUCAGUAUCUCAGAACAGUAUCAGCCCCUCGGGCUUAGUAUCUCAGAACAGUAUCAGCCCCUCAAGCUCAGAACAGUAUGAAGCAACCAGUCAAUGAAAUAAGAGCACAUAAUUAUUAUGGCGGAUAAUGCAGAUGAGGAAUAAAUGUGUGAGUGCAAUGCAAUGCAUAUGACGGUACCCUCUGGUACCCACUGCAACGUGCAGCCCGAGCCAUCCAUAUUUAUUUAUCGUCGACGUCGCUCACUGGGGGUGUGUACAGACUCCGGAGGGGCUCCUACAGCCCAAGUGCAAUAACAAGCCAUCUCGUGGCAUCAAUCAAGUCUUGGUCAGUCAUUGUUACCUGACCAAUUUAUAUCACACAGUGCCAUUGUUACCACUAUUUCAAGUCACAUCAUACAGUGUCAUUGUUUCCACUGUUUCAAAUCACUGCUGCGGCAUGCAGCCAGAUCCAUGCUCAGUCCAAAAAUCAUAAUAAGCCCCUUGGGCAUUUAUAAAACAAUAGUUCUCAGCCUGAAAUAUCAUUUAGAAAUAUCAUUUAAGUUUUAAAAUCUUAAAAAGAUGGCUGAGUUUGCAAAACAGUAUUUAAAACCUUGGACUGAGAUCAAAUGAUAUGCAUGUAUGCGAAAACAGUGAUGUCAAUCCCUGAAGGAUUCAAAUAAUUGGCACGAAACCCAAAUGUAAUAAUUAAAUCCAAGUAAGGAUGAUUUUCAAUCUAGUUCAAGUAGAAAAUACGGUAAAAAUAUCUCUCGGGACGGACUAAGUCACAAUCCCUGUUGGUGCUCUACCCCACGCCCGUUAUCCGGUGUGCAAGUCACCUCAAUAUAGCGCUACGAUGUGAAACUCCGGGGUUUCAAACCCUCAGGACAUCAUUUACAUCAAUUACUCACCUCAAACUGGCUACUUCUUUAGCUCGUGACGCCUUUGCUCCUUGAAUUGGCCUCCGGGUGCGUCGAAUCUGCCCAAAAUUACAACGAAUAUGUCGCAUUAUGCUAAAGGGACAAUACCCAAUCGAAAGCAAUCGAAAAAUAUCAAAAUUCACAAAUUUGACAAAACCCGAGCCCCGGGACACGUCUCAAAACUCAGAAAUUUUUAUACCAAAAUGUUCUUCGUCCUCUCACGAGUCCGUACAUGUAAAGAACACAAAAAUUGGAGCUCGUUUGACCCUUCAAAUCGACCCUAGAAAAUCUCAAAAGCACAAGCCCUAAAACUCCACUUUUCUACUGAUUUUCAUGUUCUAAUUCACAUAUAAUCUUGUAUUUAAUUUGAAAAUAAGUAGAAACAACUCACCUUUGAUGCUUGAUAAAAUCGCCCUUGAAAUUCUCUCCAAAAUCAUCCAAGCAAAAUGAAAGAAAUGAAAGAAAUAAGCCAAAUCCGUGUUUAAAGAAUCUGUCCGUGUUUCGUCGAGUUGUACCUUGCACUUGUCCUAUACAAGUUGUACAUCCUAUUAAAAAUUUUCC